rnacentral:rRNA from 1 species
AACGAACGCUGGCGGCGUGCCUAACACAUGCAAGUCGAGCGAGAAAGUCCGCAAGGAUGAGUACAGCGGCGCACGGGUGCGUAACACGUGGGUAAUCUGCCCUGGAGCCCGGAAUAACCUCCCGAAAGAGAAGCUAAUGCCGGAUAAGACCACGGGAGCUUCGGCUCCUGCGGGAAAAGGUGGCCUCUGUACACAAGCUAUCACUCCUGGAUGAGCCCGCGGCCCAUCAGCUAGUUGGCGGGGUAACGGCCCACCAAGGCUACGACGGGUAGCUGGUCUGAGAGGACGAUACGCCAAACUGGAACUUGGACACGGUCCAGACUCCUCCGGGAGGCAGCGGUGGGGAAUCUUGCGCAAUGGGCGAAAGCCUGACGCAGCAACGCCGCGUGUGUGAUGAAGGUCUUCGGAUCGUAAAGCACUGUCGGGAGGAAAGAACAAGCCUGUGGCUAACAUCCACGGGCCUUGACGGUACCUCCAAAGGAAGCACCGGCUAACUCUGUGCCAGCCGCCGCGGUAACAC